rnacentral:rRNA from 1 species
GUGGGGAAUUUUGGACAAUGGGGGCAACCCUGAUCCAGCAAUGCCGCGUGUGUGAAGAAGGCCUUCGGGUUGUAAAGCACUUUUGUCCGGGAAGAAAUCGCACCUGAUAAUACCGGGUGUGGAUGACGGUACCGGAAGAAUAAGGACCGGCUAACUACGUGCCAGCAGCCGCGGUAAUACGUAGGGUCCAAGCGUUAAUCGGAAUUACUGGGCGUAAAGCGUGCGCAGGCGGUUGUGCAAGACCGAUGUGAAAUCCCCGGGCUUAACCUGGGAAUUGCAUUGGUGACUGCACGGCUAGAGUGUGUCAGAGGGGGGUAGAAUUCCACGUGUAGCAGUGAAAUGCGUAGAGAUGUGGAGGAAUACCGAUGGCGAAGGCAGCCCCCUGGGAUAACACUGACGCUCAUGCACGAAAGCGUGGGGAGCAAACAGGAUUAGAUACCCGAGUAGUCC